AUGGCGGCGCGCCUUGGUUGGGGGAGCAAGCGCCAGGUGUUCCUGACUCAGACCCGCGCCGAUCCCCGUAGGAAACUCCCCGGGUGGAUCUCCCUUGGCCGCUGCACAGCGGCGGCCGUUCCGCGAGCGGCCGCAGAGCCGUCUGGGGGCACGGACUGGUUGGACUGGCUCGGGCGCGUCGGAGCUGGGCGGGCAGGUGGCAACGCCCUCCCGGGGCUUGUUUUGCUUUGUAUUUUACUCCAAUUCCCUGAGGCUCCGUGGGAUGAGAGAAAGCUACAGGCUGGAGGGUUCUUCCAAGAAGCCACCAGCCUCAAGCCACUCGCUUUUUUGGAGGGCAAGGUUCGAUCCAAAGUAGCCCCCAAAGCCUCCAGAGCACUAGGUGGUCCAAGAACUGACACCCAGAUCAACGAUCUCUCCUCCGCACCAGCCCCUUGCAGAAAGGAGCGGGGCACUUUCUUCCAAACCAGUGGAAUGUAAAGCAGGAUGGUUCCGCCACUUAUCCCUGCCUGGCCCAUAGUAGGUGUUUUAUAAACGCUGUUGAAUCCAGAUGCUCUUCCCAUCACGCACCAGACCGCCAAAGAUUGGACCUCUAUUUGCUUCCCCAAAUAAAAACCCAGACGACUAAGCAUCCCAAUAGCCACGGAGCUCCUUAAGAGAUUCUCUUUAAUGUUUAUUCCCCCAACAAGCCAAAAUCACAGAUUCCGUCCCAGGAAAGGGCCGGGCCCUCCCCAAAGCAUCCCCUGCCAAGGCUGCAGCCCCUGUACCCAACACACUGAAUAUAAAACAGUAGAGAAAAGAUGCAACGCCGGAUUUAAAAACAUCAUGUCUCUCCUGAAGGACUCCAGCUUGGGUCAGCAGGGAACCUUGCUGGGCUAAGAAGUUUUUCUUAUUGCAGAUAAAUAAUCACAGCGAGGGUGGAGCACUGUCCGGCACGUCUCAGCCAUUCGCGGGCCCGAGAGCCACAAAGCCCUCGGUUUGCCUCCCACCCUCUGCUUGAGGGGGCCCAUGAAGUAAGCGGCUCUGCAGGGCUUCUGGGCCACCAGGGGUGGAGAAGAUGCUACAGCAAACCAGGGGUGGAAAUCCAGCUGUGAUCUGUUUAAAACACAGAUAUCUCCUGGCUUUGGAGUCCACUCCUUCCCCGCCCCAAGCCCUGCAGAGCUGGGUCUGGGGGAUGUCUCCUUGGCCGUCUGGGUAAAGGGGAGCUAGGAGGGAGCCUUCCCGUUUGCCCUGGGGCCAGGAAGGGUCCCCCAGCCUCAUUUCUCUUC
rnacentral:lncRNA from 1 species